rnacentral:rRNA from 1 species
UACGUAGGUGGCAAGCGUUGUCCGGAAUUACUGGGCGUAAAGAAUGCGUAGGCGGUCUUUUAAGUGGGAUGUGAAAUCCCUGGGCUCAACCCAGGAACUGCAUUCCAAACUGGAAGACUAGAGUGCGGGAGAGGAAAUUGGUAUUCCCAGUGUAGCGGUGAAAUGCGUAGAGAUUGGGAGGAACACCAGUAGCGAAGGCGAAUUUCUGGAACGUAACUGACGCUGGGGCAUGAAAGCGUGGGGAGCAAACAGGAUUAGAUACCCUGGUAGUCCACGCCGUAAACGAUGAGUACUAGGUGUAGGGGCGCCAGCCUCUGUGCCGCAGUUAACACAUUAAGUACUCCGCCUGGGAAGUACGAUCGCAAGAUUAAA